rnacentral:rRNA from 1 species
AACGUUGGCCCCUAAUCGGGGUUGCGGACAGUGUCUGGUGGGUAGUUUGACUGGGGCGGUCUCCUCCUAAAGAGUAACGGAGGAGCACGAAGGUUGGCUAAUCCUGGUCGGACAUCAGGAGGUUAGUGCAAUGGCAUAAGCCAGCUUGACUGCGAGCGUGACGGCGCGAGCAGGUGCGAAAGCAGGUCAUAGUGAUCCGGUGGUUCUGAAUGGAAGGGCCAUCGCUCAACGGAUAAAAGGUACUCCGGGGAUAACAGGCUGAUACCGCCCAAGAGUUCAUAUCGACGGCGGUGUUUGGCACCUCGAUGUCGGCUCAUCACAUCCUGGGGCUGAAGUAGGUCCCAAGGGUAUGGCUGUUCGCCAUUUAAAGUGGUACGCGAGCUGGGUUUAGAACGUCGUGAGACAGUUCGGUCCCUAUCUGCCGUGGGCGCUGGAGAACUGAGGGGGGCUGCUCCUAGUACGAGAGGACCGGAGUGGACGCAUCACUGGUGUUCGGGUUGUCAUGCCAAUGGCACUGCCCGGUAGCUAAAUGCGGAAGAGAUAAGUGCUGAAAGCAUCUAAGCACGAAACUUGCCCCG